rnacentral:lncRNA from 1 species
CCCCCCCCUAUUAUUCCAAAGCAGCCAAAGGGGGAAAGGAAAAGGAAAAAAAAAAAUCACAACCAAAAAAAAAAGUGUUAUUUUUAAGCCACUGCCGCUUUCAUUAGAUACGGGUCCUCUGGUGCUGUCGCUCUCAAGUUUGUUUCCCGGGGGCUCCGCGACUUCAGUGAGAUUAAUUGGAGAGGGCAGGAGGGGUUGGGAUGCGCGUACGUGCGGAGCGGCCGCCCUGCCCUGCCCUGGCCGGGCGGGGCGGGGCGGGGGGCGCAUCCCUGCUUCCCGCAUCCCGCGCUGCCUCCUGCCGGGAGGGCACCAAAGGGUUAAGAAACUUGGCUGGAGAGAUGAAUGGCGCGGCGCGGGGAGGGGCCGGGCUGCGCCGCGGCGGGCGAGGUGGAAGGCGGAGAGGGAGGAUCGCGGCUGCGGGUUAGGCUUUGAAAGUCAGCCUCGCAGGCAUUGCAGCAGAGCCCCGAGCCGCGGAGAGCAGCGCAGCGGAGCUCGGCUCGCCCUAUCAAGCAUGAAAUUUUUGAGGAAGACAAUUACUGCAUCCUUGGACUCCUGAAGGAAGAGCUUUCCUAAUGGAACCACAUUCAAGGAAUUUUAUGUGCUUGGUGGAGAUGGAAAAGGAAGAAAAGCAAACUGGCCUCCAGAAGCAAGAAGGCAGCAAAUAUUUGAUGGAACUGUUUUUCUGUGAAACCAUGUUUUGAGUGUUCUCCUAGACAUCGUCCAUAAAUAUCCUAGAUCUCAGCUGAGGAUUGCUAUGAUUGGAAACCUGGCUCAUCAAACAGUGUACACUGGGAGAAGCCUGCGUAGGAUAAUACAUUUUCUGUUGUUUCUGAAGGUCUCUAAGAAAACACUGUAGACAUCUACCUGUUAUUAACCCUGCAUCUUGAUUGAGCAAAACUAGCCUUUGAAGUGAACAGAAACAGAGCCUU